AGCGCGAAGCCACAGGACCGACCGUCGAGAAAACCCUCUAGGGAGAACAGAAGCGUCCGUACCAAAACUGACACAGGUGGGUGAGGUGAGAAUCCUAAGGCGCUCGGGAGAACUGCUGUUAAGGAACUCGGCAAAUUAACCCCGUAACUUCGGGAAAAGGGGUGCCCUAUGCUGUGUAGGUUCUAGCAAUUGAAGCAGCGUGGGGCCGCAGAGAAUUGGUCCAAGCAACUGUUUAUUAAAAACACAGGUCUGUGCUAACUCUUAACGAGGAUGUAUACAGACUGACGCCUGCCCAAUGCCGGAAGGUUAAGGGGAGUGGUUAGCGCAAGCGAAGCUGUGAACCGAAGCCCCGGUGAAUGGCGGCCGUAACUAUGACGGUCCUAAGGUAGCAAGUUCCUUGUCGGGUAAGUUCCGACCCGCACGAAAGGCGUAAUGACUUGGACGCUGUCUCAACAGCAGACUCGGCGAACUUGAAGCUGUGGUGAAGAUACCACAUUCCCGCAUUAAGACGGAAAGACCCCGUGAACCUUUACUUCAGCCUGAUAUUGGGAUUUGAUGCGUAGUGCGUAGCAUAGGUGGGAGGCAUUGAAGCGGAGCUUUUGGGUUCUGUGGAGCCACCAGUGAAAUACCACUCUCUACGUAUUAGAUUUCUAACUCGCCUGCGUGAAUCCGCGGCGAAGACAGUUUCAGGUGGGUAGUUUGGCUGGGGCGGUCUCCUCCAAAAAGGUAACGGAGGAGCGCGAUGGUACACUCAGUGCGGUUGGCAAUCGCGCGAAGAGCGUAAGGGUAGAAGUGUGCCUGACUGCGAGAGCUAUAACUCGAGCAGAUACGAAAGUAGGUCCUAGUGAUCCGGCGGAUUCCGAGUGGAAGGGCCGUCGCUCAUCAGAUAAAAGGUACUCCGGGGAUAACAGGCUGAUCUCCCCCAAGAGUUCAUAUCGACGGGGAGGUUUGGCACCUCGAUGUCGGCUCAUCGCAUCCUGGGGCUGAAGGAGGUCCCAAGGGUUUGGCUUCGCCAAUUAAAGCGGUACGUGAGCUGGGUUUAGACCGUCGUGAGACAGGUCGGUCCCUAUCUAGUGUGGGUGUAGGAUGAUUGCGGAGGUUUUCCCCUAGUACGAGAGGAUUGGGGAGGACGAGCCUCUGGUGCUCCAGUUAUCACGCGAGUGGUACAGCUGGGUAGCUAUGCUCGGAACGGAUAAGCGCUGAAUGCAUCUAAGCGCGAAGCCAUCUCCAAGACGAGUCAUCCCAAUGAGCUCCCUGGGAGACUACCAGGUUGAUAGGCCGGCGGUGUAAGCACAGUGAUGUGUUCAGCUUACCGGUACUAAUCGGGCCAUUGGCUUAACCAC
rnacentral:rRNA from 1 species